GCCAUGUACAUGAUAAACCAAGGAUUCUUCGUCAACAUGCAAGAUGUUACUCCCUGUAAACUACUGUUGGCAGAAUAGCUGAUACAUUGGGAAAACGGUUAUGGCAAGUGUGAUGAAUAAAUCACCAUAGGUCAGUUGUCUUGCCUUCACAAUUGCAACGAAGAUGAAUCAUGGAGUCAAAAACAUUAAAAGAACAUGCUGGAAUUCAUGUCAUCCUGGAGAGGACUUAAAAAAAAACGAGCUUUAUCCACGAAGCAGCUCAUUAAUCAUGUCCCAAACGAUUGUCUGCGUCAGCCAGCAAUCUUUCAAUGGCUAACAAGCAUUUAAUAGUUUUGAAAAUCGCGGUUUGCACUCCCUAAGGCGACAUUCCUUAAUCCCACCUGUCAAAAGAUUUGAAUGCAACCAUUUUCUAUUCUGAACUGUCGCCUUCGAAAUUCUUUUUCCAUAAAAUGAGGUGAUAUGAGGUUAUAAUGGAAAUUGUC